rfam:Heterocephalus glaber contig43463, whole genome shotgun sequence.
AGAGGUGUAGCUCAGUGGUAGAGUUCUUACCUAGCAAAUGUGAGGUCCUGGGUUCCUUUCCCAGUGCCACCA